rnacentral:rRNA from 1 species
CCUACGGGAGGCAGCAGUGGGGAAUAUUGCGCAAUGGGCGAAAGCCUGACGCAGCGACGCCGCGUGAGGGAUGAAGGUCUUCGGAUCGUAAACCUCUGUCAGCAGGGAAGAACGGUCACUGUGCUAAUCAGCAGUGAAUUGACGGUAACUGCAAAGGAAGCACCGGCUAACUCCGUGCCAGCAGCCGCGGUAAUACGGAGGGUGCGAGCGUUAAUCGGAAUUACUGGGCGUAAAGCGCUCGUAGGCGGUAUGUCAAGUCAAGGGUGAAAUCCCCGGGCUCAACGUGGGAACUGCCUUUGAAACUGGCAGACUGGAGUGUGUGAGAGGAUAGUGGAAUUCCAGGUGUAGGAGUGAAAUCCGUAGAUAUCGGGAGGAACAUCAGUGGCGAAGGCGACUAUCUGGCACAUAACUGACGCUGAGGAGCGAAAGCGUGGGUAGCAAACAGGAUUAGAUACCCUUGUAGUC